rnacentral:rRNA from 1 species
UACAGAGGGUGCGAGCGUUAAUCGGAAUUACUGGGCGUAAAGCGCGCGUAGGCGGCUUUGCAAGUCGGAUGUGAAAUCCCCAGGCUCAACCUGGGAACUGCAUCCGAUACUGGAUGGCUUGAAUUCGGGAGAGGGAUGCAGAAUUCCCGGUGUAGUGGUGAAAUGCGUAGAUAUCGGGAGGAACACCAGUGGCGAAGGCGGCUUUCUGGUCUGCUCUUGACGCUGAGGCGCGAAAGCUAGGGUAGCAAACGGG